CAGGAUCACCUUCUGGGACACCAGGAGAGGAGAGUGGGUAGAGAAUAGUGGACCUGCGCUCCUAGCAUGUCUGUCUCCUCUCACUUGCUUGAUCUGGCAUGUGGAGCAUAAUAAGAUACUGGGCUGUAGCAGAAAAAUCUUUGGACUCCUAGGAUGUCUCCCCUGGCCUUUCUGCCAACAACAGUUAAAAUUAUAUUCAAUGAUAUUAACAGUUCUUUCUUUUAUUUCCCAAAUACAUUCUGAUAUAAAUUGUGAUAAAGAAAAUGGGUUUACAUGUAAUUAAAGUUUUUAUAUCAAUAUUUUUAAAUAACUAUAAAGCUCUAAUUUGUGGGUUACAUGUACAUCAUUAGAACAGACAGGGUGCCUAGCUUUAUUUGUCAUCUAUCUCUUCUAUGAGACUCUAAACUUGCAAACUGCCAAUCCUGCCUGAGAGUAGGUGUUUCUGGGGAGGGUGAACUGAGAAAGGCAUGGAUGUGGUUUGGGAAAAGAGGGAUGUGAAUUUCACAACAGCAAAAUGACUGUCUAAACCCACUUCAGAGAGAAGGAAAUGGCUUAGUGACAAACAUCUCAGGUGUGGGAAGUGAACUGAAAUGGCUUUGAUUCCGUAGUGUGAAAAGAACAAAAGAGUUCUUUGCUUAUCAUUCAGCUGCCUCAGACUCCUCCACCCUUUCCCUCUUCCUGCCUCCCUCUCAUGUUCUGUAAGCUCAGUCCUUUGGAAAGUAAAAUCUUGCUGCUCCAGCAUUUAAUGUUAUGCCAUUGCUCAGCAAUGAUCAGGAUCUGAAAAAUAUCUCAUCAGCAACUUAAACAUUAAUCAUAGGUUUUUGAACUUUAAAUAGUUGCUUGAACUCUAGCAAAUCUUGAGUUAGAUAAAUAAAAAUGCACACAAGAGGUUUCAGUUGUCAUUCAAAUGCUCACAGUUUAUUUGGUCUCUGAGGCUCUGCAGCCUGUAAGAAAGAAGGAGUUCUUUGCAUUUUGGUACUUCUGAGUAAAAGCAGUUGUGAAAAAUAUGUAAGGUGAUAGCUCAUUAUGCAUCUUCUGUGAAUUUCAGGGAAAUGUAAGGUUGGAGGUUUGAUCAGUCUUUAGCUCUUUCCCUCUGCCACUCUAAUUCAUACCCAUUGAUGAGUCAGAAGCAGACUCUCAGAAAAGAGAACUAAAGCCAUAGCUCAGAAAAAGUAAGUUUUAUUUAGUGUUACAUGUUACUUUUAUUAAAGAAACCAUGGAAGAUUUUCUGAACCAAAGGAAGACUAUAAUGUGGUUGGCUAGAAAUGAAGAUAAAAGGUUUCUCCAGAAGGCAGGAGGCAAACUCACAGCAUUUCCUCCCUGUUGCUAAGUUAUGUAAGGAGCAAGAUCAUAAUCAGAAUGUUUCUUUGGUGAGCAUGGAGCUUAAUUUAAAAAGGAAUUCAGAUGAUCUCAUAAAGAGUCCUUCAACUGAAAGAGGAAUAGCCUUGCCUGUGGAUAACGCAUUUAUAGUUCCACUGACCAAGAGUCCUCUCACUGGGCUGUACUGAAUAAAUACCCUUCAACAAAGUCCUGUGUGCUAUGCAGGUUAUCUGCUGGUGAUAAAUUUUAUUUUCUUUAUGAACUCAAAAUUUCAUAGAAUCAUGAGCAAAGACAUAUUCAACAAUUUGAUUUGAUUUAUACAAAGAAAGUAAAAACCUCCCAAAAAACAAAGCACAAAAACCCAUCUUUUCAUAAACUUCUUCAAGAGCACCUCUACUGUAUUUAGUGAUAGAUACAUGAAUCUAAAUCAGGUAUCUAAGGAUAAAAUAAUGAUGUGGGAAGAGAUUGAAAUGAUGCUGGGAACAGAGAAAUUUACAGGGAGGAAUAAUUUGGUUGGAAUCUACAAGAAUGGAAAGAGGUGCUCUCUAGACUCCCCUAUACACAUAGUGCAAUGCUGACCUGCAUAUCCACUGAUGUGAUAUUUCUCAUGAUACCAGUGCCUUAUGAUCAGGAAGGGAUAUUUCCGGCAUGGUCGUUUCAAUAGUAGAGAUGGAUUUGAGUUAAUGUAUCAUCCAUACCCUCUUGCUUGGUCCCCCUUGUGGCUUUUGAAUAGGAUUUCUGAACAGCUAGGACACAGUCUGUGGUCAUGGAGCAGUAUUAGGCUAACAAGUGUUCAAAGUCUUGUUUUUGGCCUCCAAGGUGAGGAGAUGUAUCCGGCUGAGAAAAAGGCCAUAUAAAUAAAAUAGGUUUAUUUUAUUUAUGGGGCAGAGGCUCUCAAACUUCAAUGUGCAUCACUGCCCCGAAGAGGGUGUUUAAAAUGCACAUGUCUAGAUGACUGCUAGAGAUUUAGAAA
rnacentral:lncRNA from 10 species